UAACAAGGAUUCCCCUAGUAACUGCGAGUGAAGCGGGAAAAGCUCAAAUUUAAAAUCUGGCGGCCUUUGGUCGUCCGAGUUGUAGUCUGGAGAAGCGUCUUCCGCGUUGGACCGUGUACAAGUCUCUUGGAACAGAGCGUCAUAGAGGGUGAGAAUCCCGUCUUUGACACGGACUACCAAUGCUUUGUGAUGCGCUCUCAAAGAGUCGCGUUGUUUGGGAAUGCAGCGCAAAAUGGGAGGUGAAUUCCUUCUAAAGCUAAAUAUUGGCGAGAGACCGAUAGCGAACAAGUACCGUGAGGGAAAGAUGAAAAGCACUUUGGAAAGAGAGUUAAACAGUACGUGAAAUUGCUAAAAGGGAAACGCUUGAAGUCAGUCGCGUCGUCCGGAACUCAGCCUUGCUUCGGCUUGGUGCACUUUCCGGUUGACGGGCCAGCAUCGAUUUUGACCGCUGGAAAAGGGCUGGAGGAAUGUGGCACCUUCGGGUGUGUUAUAGCCUUCAGUCGCAUACAGCGGUUGGGAUCGAGGAACGCAGCGCGCCUUAUGGCUGGGGUUCGCCCACAUUCGCGCUUAGGAUGCUGGCAUAAUGGCUUUAAACGAC
rnacentral:rRNA from 1 species